GCGCGCGCGCAGGCGUGGUAACAGAGAGGAUGGCUGAAAGGGAGACAGCCGGGAGAGGGCGGCUUGCGGACCGCAUGGCAGAGUAGCAGCUCGAGCGAGCGGAUCCGGCUCUCGCUUUUACCACACACACAUCUGCAACGCACACGUGUGGUGUUUUGUACAUAGUAAGAGCAUAAUAAGUAGUAACGGAUAGAACAGCUAUCAUGCAGUUAUCCAGUUUUCACUUCAACCAGAAUCUUCAGGCCAACCUUGAUCAAAUCACAGCUCUCGCUGGACCUGCGACUCUACUGCUUCUUCAUUCUUCUCUCUGACAACACGUUAACGUAGAGAUCCUGCCCCUACGGACCACAGCAUUGAGGUUACGAGCAGUUUUAGACCGUUCAGAGGACUUGUCGCCCGUGACAGACCCAAGGCAAAAUUUACCCACAGGUGCUUCCAAGCUCCCAGAAGUUGGCUUCAGACCCACGCGCGCAACUUGCCGAGAUUAACCAGAACGACUCCCUGAGACCUAGACACAUAGAAAGGCUCAGAGAGGUUCCCACUCCCCUGGUCCUCAUCCAAUAGCUUUCCAGCUGUUUCAUUUGCUAAUUCAUGUACAAGUUAUUCUUGUAGCUGGGCCAAGACCACUGAACCUGAAAGAAGGAGGCCCACGUGCUCCAUGACGAAGUCUGGUAGCGAGGCCGGGAACUCCCUUAACAGGCUGUGGGCAUGCGUGGCUCUGCAUGGAAUUGGCAUGUACAGAGUGGGGUGGUUUAUUCUCAUCCUCGCCCAGAGACGCUGUUUCUCGUCUGCGUCUGUUGCCUCUCUCACUGCUUCCAAGUCGUGUUCAGCAGGGCCAUGUGCAAACUAGCAGAAGAUGGAGUCCACUUGAGAGAAUCCAUCUUCCCUUAAAUAGCCUCCCACGUUUUCGGCGGUACGUUUUCAUUGUGCCGUCUUGUGGCCAAAGAGUGAUAGAGAAAGAUGUCAGAAGCCCUCUGCUAGGUGCCAAGUAUCCAUGUGUGUCCAUGUGCACACAAACACACGCAUGUGUGUGUAUGCAUGUGUGUGCAUGUGUACAUGUGUGUGCAUGUGUAUAUGUGUGUGCAUGCCCGUGCAUUUUUAGAAGAUAAUAUAAUUGGUACCUGGAUUCAUUAAAAUCUCAUGGGAUGAGG